GAUGAACGCUGGCGGCGUGCCUAAUACAUGCAAGUCGAGCGAACGGACGAGAAGCUUGCUUUUCUGAUGUUAGCGGCGGACGGGUGAGUAACACGUGGAUAACCUACCUAUAAGACUGGGAUAACUUCGGGAAACCGGAGCUAAUACCGGAUAAUAUUUUGAACCGCAUGGUUCACAAGUGAAAGACGGUCUUGCUGUCACUUAUAGAUGGAUCCGCGCUGCAUUAGCUAGUUGGUAAGGUAACGGCUUACCAAGGCAACGAUGCAUAGCCGACCUGAGAGGGUGAUCGGCCACACUGGAACUGAGACACGGUCCAGACUCCUACGGGAGGCAGCAGUAGGGAAUCUUCCGCAAUGGGCGAAAGCCUGACGGAGCAACGCCGCGUGAGUGAUGAAGGUCUUCGGAUCGUAAAACUCUGUUAUUAGGGAAGAACAUAUGUGUAAGUAACUGUGCACAUCUUGACGGUACCUAAUCAGAAAGCCACGGCUAACUACGUG
rnacentral:rRNA from 1 species